UUAAGUAAGGAAGGGCGUACGGCGAAUGCCUGGCCACUCGAAACUGAAGAAGGACGCGCCAAACUGCGAAAAGCUCCGUGAAGCUGUAAGGAAGCGAAGAAGCGGAGGUGUCCGAAUGGGGGAACCCGGCAGCAGACAUGAGCUGUCAUCUGCAGGUGAAUACAUGGCCUGCAAGAGAGGUACCCGGCGAACUGAAACAUCUAAGUAGCCGGAGGAAAAGAAAACAACAGUGAUUCCCUGAGUAGCGGCGAGCGAAAGGGGAGAAGCCCAAACCGGUCCAAGGACCGGGGUUGAAGGACCAUGAUAUGGCAAGAGAGAGGAUAGAAGAACGGGAUCGAAAGCCCGGCCGAAGAAGGUGCAAGCCCUGUAAUUGAAAUCCGAUCGAAGCCUAAUGGGAUCCUGAGUACGGCGAGACACGAGGAAUCUUGUCGGAAGCAGGCGGGACCAUCCGCCAAGGCUAAAUAUAAACGAGUGAGCGAUAGUGAACCAGUACCGUGAGGGAAAGGUGAAAAGAACCGCGGGAGCGGAGUGAAAGAGAACCUGAAACCGUAUGCCUACAAGAAGUCAGAGCCCGUUAAGGGGUGAUGGCGUGCCUUUUGUAGAAUGAACCGGCGAGUUGCGACAGACUGCGAGGUUAAGGAGGAAAGACCGGAGCCGAAGCGAAAGCGAGUCUUAACAGGGCGAAAGUAGGAUGUUGCAGACCCGAAACCGGGUGAUCUAGCCAUGAGCAGGUUGAAGUUGAGGUGAAACUCAAUGGAGGACCGAACCGACUACCGUUGAAAAGUUAGCGGAUGACUUGUGGCUAGGGGAGAAAUUCCAAUCGAACCCGGAGAUAGCUGGUUCUCCCCGAAAUAGCUUUAGGGCUAGCGUCGGAAAGAACCUUAGUGAAGGUAGAGCACUGAAUGUGUGAUGGCCCCAUCCCGGGGUACUGAAUACAAUCAAACUGCGAAUGUCAUUAAGGAUGUCCGGCAGUCAGACUGUGAGUGAUAAGGUCCAUGGUCAAGAGGGAAACAGCCCAGACCGCCAGUUAAGGUCCCAAAAUACAGGCUAAGUGGAAAAGGAUGUGGGGAUGCCCAGACAACUAGGAGGUUGGCUCAGAAGCAGCCAUCCUUUAAAGAGUGCGUAACAGCUCACUAGUCGAGUGACCCUGCGCCGAAAAUGUACCGGGGCUAAGCCUGAUACCGAAACUGCGGAUUGUAGGAAACUAUAGUGGUAGGGGAGCGUUGUAUACGAGUAGAAGCCGUACCGUGAGGAGCGGUGGAUUGUAUAGAAGUGAGAAUGCCGGUGUGAGUAGCGAGAUGUAGGUGAGAAUCCUACACACCGAAAGCCCAAGGAUUCCAGGGGAAGGUUCGUCCGCCCUGGGUAAGUCGGGACCUAACGCGAGGCCGAAAGGCGUAGUGGAUGGAAAGCAGGCGAAAGAUUCCUGCACCCGUAUAUGGAGCGAAGGAGUGACGGAGACGGAUAGUGUGACCCUCUUAAUGGAUUGAGGGCGAAGCGAAGCGGCUGGUUACCAGGCAAAUCCGGUAACCAUAAGGCUAGAGCGUGAUAGGUAAGCGAAAUCUAAGGAAAGUAGCGAAGCACAUGAUGACGGCUUCCAGGAAAAGCUUCUGGCAAUGCAUAUGCGGCCCGUACCAAAACCGACACAGGUGGGCAGGGAGAGAAUCCCGAGGUGAGCGAGAGAACUGUUGCCAAGGAACUCGGCAAAAUGACUCCGUAAGUUAGCGAGAAGGAGUGCUUAAGCAAUUAAGCCGCAGUGAAGAGGCCCAAGCGACUGUUUAACUAAAACACAGCUCUCUGCGAAGUCGCAAGACGAAGUAUAGGGGGUGACACCUGCCCGGUGCUGGAAGGUUAAGAGGAUCUGUUAAGAGCGAUCUGAAGCAGUGAUCCGAAGCCCCAGUGAACGGCGGCCGUAACUAUAACGGUCCUAAGGUAGCGAAAUUCCUUGUCAGGUAAG
rnacentral:rRNA from 1 species